UGACGAGGGAAUUUUUGUGAACUAUAAAGAGUGAAAUGGCUUUGAUGCUAACGAUUUUAAAGUCUGUUUUGCGGACACAUCUAUAACGCGUCAUAAGUGUUUUGUAAUGAAAAUGGGUAUUGAAAUCACAAAAUCUUAGAAGCAGAUAAAAAAAUUAAUACAUCUUCUUACAUUCCACAGUGUGCAGUUUGAAUGGUACUGAAUAUCAGUGCAGGUGUGAGGAUCAGUAUUUCUGGCCAUGUGAAAAGUGCAAACUAUAUGGGUCUUGUGGUAACGUCACCAAUUCCUCUUGUGGCUGCAUCAAUGCUAUUCCAAAUGAUGGACACUUCUGCCAACCAAUCAAUGAGCUGAUGAAUAACUCUACAUGUCCAACUGAACCACCCCCAGCUGAAUAUCUGCUUGAGAUUGAAAUUAGCGCAGUGGAUGUAACGGUCCUGAAUCAACUGAGGAACAUUUUGAUGACACUCAGUUUACCUUCAAUAAAUAACAUCAAUAUCACUGAAAUUAACAUCACUACAGGUAACUGACCUUUCAGUUUCUGCUCAUUUUCAUAGACAAAUCUGUCAGAGAUCAUAAUAGACCUGUGUUGUAAUAUGAGUCAUAAUUAUACGAGUCAACAUCAAAAUAAAGUCAUA